UACGUAGGGUGCGAGCGUUAAUCGGAAUUACUGGGCGUAAAGCGUGCGCAGGCGGUCUGUUAAGACCGAUGUGAAAUCCCCGGGCUUAACCUGGGAACUGCAUUGGUGACUGCAAGGCUUGAGUGUGUCAGAGGGAGGUGGAAUUCCGCGUGUAGCAGUGAAAUGCGUAGAUAUGCGGAGGAACACCGAUGGCGAAGGCAGCCUCCUGGGAUAACACUGACGCUCAUGCACGAAAGCGUGGGGAGCAAACAGG
rnacentral:rRNA from 1 species